AUGGUGCAUGGUAAAAAGGGUAAAGUAGAAGAUGAAGAAUGGUCGGAAAUGACUGGCAAUGAGCUAGGCGGAGAUGGUUAUGAGUUUUGGUUCUUAGAUAACAGAGAUAAUGGGAAGAGAAAUACCUAUCGGAGUCUCUCCGAUGGAGCUUCAGAAAAAAUAGGCAGAUUAGGACAACAACUUGGCAUGGUCUUUGUUAAAACAAGGUUGGAGAAAAUGGACAACAUUAAACUCAAGAAUUGGACUGUUAUUGGAUUAAAACAGUGCUGGAAAAAUGGGCAGCAUUGA